rnacentral:tRNA from 1 species
GGGGGUGUAGCUCAGUGGUGAGAGCAACUGCCUUAUAAGCAGCGAGCCGGGAGUUCGAUUCUCCUCACCCCUA